AAAAAAAAAAAAAUAAACAGCAAUGUAAAACCAAUAGCUCCCUCGCUACGCUCGGAAUCUAAAAACAGUUGGAAAAAUAGGAUACAUAAAGUUAUCUGAGCGAAGUUCAAUUGUUCGUAUUUUAAAAUGUCAUAGUCUGGAAGGUUAUUAUUAAAAUUUGAUCUUGAAACGAUUAUAAAAAUAAACUACUUCGUUAUGUUCAAUUAAACACAACUAAGUACAACUUACAAUGAACCUCGUGUUGAAUUUUCGAGCAUUUCUGUUUGGUCAAAUAAUUUUAUUCAGUAAGUACCUACCUACCUACCUAAAAAAAACAAAACAAAUGAAAACUGGAAAGUUCUCCGCCAUUGUAUCAAUAUAAUAUUCACAAAACCCCGAAAACAAUAUAUUAUUGUUGUUUAAUUUGAUAAAAAUGAUUACACCAAUAUAAGUUAUGUUAAGUAAAUUUGUUAGUUUCAUAUAAGUAUUACAUUUUUUCGACUUUAAUUUUUUUUAUGUUAACUACUAUUUAAUAUACAUAACUAUCGGCUAUCUUUUAAACGAUAUCCAUGUUCCAUGAUGUUUUUUUUCUUACAAUAUUCAAUCACAAAAAUUAUAAUUACCAAAAAAUGUAUCAAUCCAGUUUAACAACAAUAAUAUAAUAUUUGUACGGUUUUAUUGUUUUGUGUAGUCCAAUAGAGUUCAUUAAUUUUUGAUGUCUAGAUUAACAUACAAAGCAGAAACUGUUUUACACAACAAUAUUAUCAAUAUUAUGAUAUUAAUACUAAUACCAAAUACUAAUAUUAUUAUUUUCAGUUUUGAUAAUGAUCAUUAUAACAUUAAAUGUUUCAUUUUAAUGGUGAUUAGUGAACUAUCUACAGCCAAAGUGAUAUUCUAACUUUACUAAAAAAUGUAUAGAAACAAAAAAUCUAUUUACAUAUACAUGAAACUAUUAUUAUGUCAAUAUGACAUGAAAAAAUUUUUUUUUUCUAUAGAAAACAUAAAUCACAUUUAAUUUAAUUAAUAUCAUAGUGGAAUUUGUAAAACAAUACAAUUUAAUUUUAUAUAGUUAUAGUAAACAAUAUUAUACAUUUUAAAUUAUCCAUGUAUUAGGUAAAUAUUUUGUUAUUUUUUAUCUUAUGCAGAUGCAUAUUAUGGUUCAUCUAAAUUCUAGACAAAUAAAUAUUUUAUUUUCAUUAAAUCAGGAUUUAGAAAUAUUUGUCUAAUCCUUGAAAUAACUAUUUAACUAUUUUACUUGUAUGACUAUAGUAGGUAUUUAGUUUUGAGUAAAUAAGUAUACAGUUUUCAACAGGUUUAGUUUUUAUAUUUUACUGUUGCAUUUUAACCAAGGUAUGUUCUAAAAAAAAUAUAUUUAUACCUUUUUUCUUAAUCUGUAUAAAAAGUAGAUUUAUUUUAUAUAUUGUAGGAAAAAUUAUUUAUAUUUGAUAAUCAAUUAUUAAAGUUUCAUUAUUUUCAUUAUUUUUAUCUAGCUAAAAAAAAUAACAAAAUACUUUUCCGAACUCAACACUGAAGAUAUCACAGACACAUAAUGCGAUAUAACGUUGAGUAGGAUAUUAUAAUUUAAACAAAUACAUACUACCAUGAAAAUUUAAAAUAAUUUUUCUUAUUCCUUUUUUCAGAAAACCUUAUUUAAUUUUUACGAACCUACACUAUAGUUCAUAUAAGAAACGACCGCCAUAUGUAUACUAGGCAAUCCAAGUAUAACAACGAUGACAACCGGAAUUCUUGUAGCACAAAGAAAAGAGAAAUUUUAAAUAUUAUAAACAUUGUUAUUAAAUUAUUUGGUAAGUGUAUACAGAACUAGCUGAAAGGAGGAAUUAGGAGGGUUACAAACCAGGGCUCCUAAAAAUAAAAAAUGUUCAUAUUGUAAUUUGUGUACAAUUAUUUUAAUCGUGCUCUGGGUAGGUAGCUAUUAUUUAAUAUUUAUUAUGCUUACAAAUGUUUCAUGCAAACUCCAUAUUAUUGUAAACAAACUUUGGUUUCCUGUUAUUUAAGGCCAGAUGUAUGU